ACGGGUGAGUAACGCGUGGGAAUCUACCGUGCCCUGCGGAAUAGCUCCGGGAAACUGGAAUUAAUACCGCAUACGCCCUACGGGGGAAAGAUUUAUCGGGGUAUGAUGAGCCCGCGUUGGAUUAGCUAGUUGGUGGGGUAAAGGCCUACCAAGGCGACGAUCCAUAGCUGGUCUGAGAGGAUGAUCAGCCACAUUGGGACUGAGACACGGCCCAAACUCCUACGGGAGGCAGCAGUGGGGAAUAUUGGACAAUGGGCGCAAGCCUGAUCCAGCCAUGCCGCGUGAGUGAUGAAGGCCUUAGGGUUGUAAAGCUCUUUCACCGGGGAAGAUAAUGACGGUAUCCGGAGAAGAAGCCCCGGCUAACUUCGUGCCAGCAGCCGCGGUAAUACGAAGGGGGCUAGCGUUGUUCGGAAUUACUGGGCGUAAAGCGCACGUAGGCGGAUAUUUAAGUCAGGGGUGAAAUCCCAGAGCUCAACUCUGGAACUGCCUUUGAUACUGGGUAUCUUGAGUAUGGAAGAGGUAAGUGGAAUUCCGAGUGUAGAGGUGAAAUUCGUAGA
rnacentral:rRNA from 1 species